GACGAACGCUGGCGGCGUGCUUAACACAUGCAAGUCGAGCGGUAAGGCCCUUUCGGGGGUACACGAGCGGCGAACGGGUGAGUAACACGUGGGUGACCUGCCCUCAGCUCUGGGAUAAGCCUGGGAAACCGGGUCUAAUACCGGAUAUGACUCCAUGACGCAUGUUGUGGGGUGGAAAGCCUUGUGCGGCUGAGGAUGGGCCCGNGGCCUAUCAGCUUGUUGGUGGGGUGAUGGCCUACCAAGGCGACGACGGGUAGCCGGCCUGAGAGGGCGACCGGCCACACUGGGACUGAGACACGGCCCAGACUCCUACGGGAGGCAGCAGUGGGGAAUCUUGCGCAAUGGGCGAAAGCCUGACGCAGCGACGCCGCGUGAGGGAUGACGG
rnacentral:rRNA from 1 species